rnacentral:rRNA from 1 species
CGUGUAGGCGGGAUUGCAAGUCAGAUGUGAAAACUGGGGGCUCAACCUCCAGCCUGCAUUUGAAACUGUAGUUCUUGAGUGCUGGAGAGGCAAUCGGAAUUCCGUGUGUAGCGGUGAAAUGCGUAGAUAUACGGAGGAACACCAGUGGCGAAGGCGGAUUGCUGGACAGUAACUGACGCUGAGGCGCGAAAGCGUGGGGAGCAAACA